AGCAGGAUAAAAAAGGUUAUCGGAAGGAUGCUCUUUCGGUUUUUGCGGUAAAUAUGAAAAACUGCCCCAGGGAACGAAUCCUUUUUUCAGGCAGUGUUGCGACUCGACGGAAACGCCGUCAGCCAAGCAUUCAUAGCUGCAGUGGAGGUCAGACUUGUAAAAUUAUGCGCGUAGACAUCAGGUGCCAAUGUUGUGAAGCGACUGGGCAAACUAUACUGCCUCUGUUUAGGAAUCCAAUUUUAAAGCAGCAAUAAUUAUUUCCUUUCGGGGCCUGUCAGCGUUACGCAGGAACCAAAAUUUUAAAGAAAUAUGUGCAGCGAGAAAGCAAGCGCCAAAAAAAAAAAAAAUGGAGACAACAGAAAAAACUGCGGAUCCCACACCCUGUGGGUAUCGGUUUAGGCGGAGCUUUCAUAGGGUUUCUUGAAGAACGCUGUUGUUGCUUAGCGACCAUUUACACGCAGAGAUCAUACGACCAGGGUGGAGAUGGCCACAAGGAACCGCCUCGCUCAACAUAAACGUCUUGCGCUCUAUCAUGAACAUGACACGGAUCACGACGAAGGAGUGGCGAGGAUGAAACAACUGCCACGACCUAAUGAUAGCGGUCUGACGACAACGGAGUGACGGCAAAAGGCAUGACGACACUGGAAUCACUAUAACAAAAUUACCAAGAUGAAAUCACCCCAACGCCACGACGACGGCCUGACAACAGGGGAUCUUUUUGUUAGAGUGACGACGUUGAUGAAAUGAAGUCGAUAUGACGAUUACGGAAUGGCUUGGCUGAAGUGUUGACGAUGGCAUGACGACAAUUGUGUGACGACCACUGCAUGACGUCCAUGGGAUGCUGACGCUCAAGUGAGGAAGCUGGAGUGACGACGUUCUCGUGAUGACACAGUGAUGCCGAUAGUAUGGCGGCGAUGUCAUAACAGCGAUGACGCGACGAAGAAAAUGACGACGAAGGCAUGACGACAAUGGCGUUAAGACGACUGUAUGAUGACAAUGACAUCAUGACCCAUGCAUGUCGAAACGAGGUGAAGACAGUGGAAUCACUACUACAAAAUUACGAUGAUAAGACUAUCACAACGGCUCGCAGCGAUCAUGACGCGCGGACGAAAAUGCCAUAAUGGCAAAGAAAGGAUGACGACAGACUCAUCACGACUCAAUAACGACUGCUCAAACACGGCUGCGCGAUGAUGACGGUAUGACAAUGCAGUCACACCAAGACAGUGAAAACGUAGGAACGAUUACGCAGACGUGGCAACGAAGGAAUGAUAACCAUGGCAUGAAGGCGGUGAAAGGACUAAGAUGGCGCGCCAACGAUGCCGUGUCAGUGUUCGAGUUUAUGUGUGCGCUGACGUGCAUGACUUGCCGCUGCGGGCCGUCCUAAUUGUGUCCCGUAAUGGCCAAUUGGGGCACGGUAAUUCGCACUCUUUCCAGUGUUUGUUUAUACUAUGUCAGGUACUGUGGGCUUCCAUAAUUCGGAUUAUGUGCGGUAUUAGCGCUCUGUCCGGCACCAGGCUGCCUUAAUUCCCUCUAUAUUCCGUGUUUGUUAGGACUUUGUCUAUGGCCGUAAGAUGGCUUGAUUGGCACGACGCCUGAUGUUUGGUUACACUAUGUCCAGUACCACACUCCAUCUUAAUCUUAACCUUAAUUCAUAGUAUAUCCGGUGUUUUUUGCACUAUGUCGGGUGUCAUGGGUCCUAUUAAUUCCCACAAUACCCGUUAUUCGCACUACGCUUGGUACCGCGGGUGAGUUUAUUCUGCACAAUAUUGCGUGUUUGUUUACACUACGUACUUCAUGUACCAUGCAAUGGCGGUGCCUCAGUUCGCACUCUAUCUGCUGUUUAAUUGCACAAUGCCUCGUAAGGGCCAGCUGUGCAAGACUGUAGUCAGCAUCGAGGAGACUAGAGUGAUAAUGGUACGACGGGAACUGCAUCACGAUGGUGGUGUGGCCCUCGCAUUCGGCAAAAGCUGUUUCGAAAGACUGCAUCCAGCAGCAGCGGGAAAGUCAAUGGAAGAGGUAAAGAAAGCUUCAGUUUCAUAGAAAUGUUCUGAAGAAACGAGUGAAAUAUGCUGCAAGAAGAUAUCAUUAGGGAAAUCUCCUUGAUGCAGCUGAAAAAUAAUCUACGGUUCCGCAACCAUCUUCAUAAACCGUGUACACGAGAGAAGGCUCCCAGAGAGGGAAUGUCCUGUAAGGAGAAAUGUAGGCGAAUUUGUCUAAACCGAGCUUCGAAAAUAUUUUCCUUAUGAAUAGCGAACCGUGAGAGAGUAAGAAAAAAAAUGGUCGAUCGUCGCAACUUCUCCGGAGAUGGGGAACAGAGGGGAGGUCAACAGACCGGCCCUGUAAGGUGCUUCGUUCCAUUUUGCUUUUACGAUAACAGUUUUGACAGCUGGGCUAUAGUUGGUCCAGGUGCACUGAUACAAAUUACCUGAUAAGAGUUGACGCAAGGAAAAGAGAGGACAGACGUCCGUCUGUCGCCUACUUUCAUUUCGUUCCAUCUUGUCGCACAGUUUCUAUCACUGCUUCCUUCUAUGAUAACAGACACCCAUUCCGGAGGAUUAGCGAAGAUGAGGAGCUGGUGGUUGGCUUUUGCCUAUUGGCCGGUGGCUGCUUUCUUAUCGAACAUACAACUUUGGUCACUGGCUACGUGCAACUGGACAUGUGCUACUAGGCACCUGCAAAUUGGUAUUCAAGGAAAAAUAGUGCAGCCGUGGACAAAUGGUUAGGGCAUCGGGCUGUUCCAGUCGGGUGCCAUGGCUUGAUUCCCGCUGCUGAACGCACUUCAGUGUUUUCAUAUGAAUGCGAAUCUGCGCGGCUAGAAACCGAGCAACGACUGGACGGAUCCAAGCCAACCAUAGAAUGGGUGGGCAGUUGCCGAGAACCGGUGGCUUCGAGCACAUCGAUUGCGUUGUUUCCGGAAUGGCUGUAAAGGUGCACCACAUCAC